rnacentral:tRNA from 1 species
GCGCUAGUGGUGUAAGGCGAACAUCGCUGCCCGGACAGCAGAAGAUGCGGGUUCGAGUCCCGCCUGGCGCA